rnacentral:rRNA from 1 species
GACGAACGCUGGCGGCGUGCCUAAUACAUGCAAGUCGAGCGAGUCUGCCUUGAGGAUCGGAGUGCUUGCACUCUGUGAAACAAGAUACAGGCUAGCGGCGGACGGGUGAGUAACACGUGGGUAACCUGCCCAAGAGAUCGGGAUAACACCUGGAAACAGAUGCUAAUACCGGAUAACAACAGAUGAUGCCUAUCAACUGUUUAAAAGAUGGUUCUGCUAUCACUCUUGGAUGGACCUGCGGUGCAUUAGCUAGUUGGUAGGGUAACGGCCUACCAAGGCGAUGAUGCAUAGCCGAGUUGAGAGACUGAUCGGCCACAUUGGGACUGAGACACGGCCCAAACUCCUACGGGAGGCAGCAGUAGGGAAUCUUCCACAAUGGACGCAAGUCUGAUGGAGCAACGCCGCGUGAGUGAAGAAGGGUUUCGGCUCGUAAAGCUCUGUUGUUGGUGAAGAAGGACAGGGGUAGUAACUGACCUU